rnacentral:snRNA from 1 species
AUCGCUUCUCGGCCUUUUGGCUAAGAUCAAGUGUAGUAUCUGUUCUUAUCAGUUUAAUAUCUGAUACGUCCUCUAUCCGAGGACAAUAUAUUAAAUGGAUUUUUGGAGCUGGGAGUCGGAAUAGGAGCUUGCUCUGUCCGCUCCACGCAUCGACCUGGUAUUGCAGUAUCUCCAGGAAUGGUGCACUUCCC